rnacentral:rRNA from 1 species
AGAGUUUGAUCAUGGCUCAGAGCGAACGCUGGCGGCAGGCUUAACACAUGCAAGUCGAGCGGGCAUAGCAAUAUGUCAGCGGCAGACGGGUGAGUAACGCGUGGGAACAUACCUUUUGGUUCGGAACAACACAGGGAAACUUGUGCUAAUACCGGAUAAGCCCUUACGGGGAAAGAUUUAUCGCCGAAAGAUUGGCCCGCGUCUGAUUAGCUAGUUGGUGAGGUAACGGCUCACCAAGGCGACGAUCAGUAGCUGGUCUGAGAGGAUGAUCAGCCACAUUGGGACUGAGACACGGCCCAAACUCCUACGGGAGGCAGCAGUGGGGAAUAUUGGACAAUGGGCGCAAGCCUGAUCCAGCCAUGCCGCGUGGGUGAUGAAGGCCCUAGGGUUGUAAAGCUCUUUUGUGCGGGAAGAUAAUGACGGUACCGCAAGAAUAAGCCCCGGCUAACUUCGUGCCAGCAGCCGCGGUAAUACGAAGGGGGCUAGCGUUGCUCGGAAUCACUGGGCGUAAAGGGUGCGUAGGCGGGUCUUUAAGUCAGGGGUGAAAUCCUGGAGCUCAACUCCAGAACUGCCUUUGAUACUGAGGAUCUUGAGUUCGGGAGAGGUGAGUGGAACUGCGAGUGUAGAGGUGAAAUUCGUAGAUAUUCGCAAGAACACCAGUGGCGAAGGCGGCUCACUGGCCCGAUACUGACGCUGAGGCACGAAAGCGUGGGGAGCAAACAGGAUUAGAUACCCCGGUAGUCCACGCCGUAAACGAUGAAUGCCAGCCGUUAGUGGGUUUACUCACUAGUGGCGCAGCUAACGCUUUAAGCAUUCCGCCUGGGGAGUACGGUCGCAAGAUUAAAACUCAAAGGAAUUGACGGGGGCCCGCACAAGCGGUGGAGCAUGUGGUUUAAUUCGACGCAACGCGCAGAACCUUACCAGCCCUUGACAUCCCGGUCGCGGACUCCAGAGAUGGAGUCCUUCAGUUCGGCUGGACCGGAGACAGGUGCUGCAUGGCUGUCGUCAGCUCGUGUCGUGAGAUGUUGGGUUAAGUCCCGCAACGAGCGCAACCCCCGUCCUUAGUUGCUACCAUUUAGUUGAGCACUCUAAGGAGACUGCCGGUGAUAAGCCGCGAGGAAGGUGGGGAUGACGUCAAGUCCUCAUGGCCCUUACGGGCUGGGCUACUCACGUGCUACAAUGGCGGUGACAAUGGGACGCUAAGGGGCAACCCUUCGCAAAUCUCAAAAAGCCGUCUCAGUUCGGAUUGGGCUCUGCAACUCGAGCCCAUGAAGUUGGAAUCGCUAGUAAUCGUGGAUCAGCAUGCCACGGUGAAUACGUUCCCGGGCCUUGUACACACCGCCCGUCACACCAUGGGAGUUGGUUUUACCUGAAGACGGUGCGCUAACCCGCAAGGGAGGCAGCCGGCCACGGUAGGGUCAGCGACUGGGGUGAAGUCGUAACAAGGUA